rnacentral:tRNA from 1 species
UGCAUCGGCCGGGAAUCGAACCCCGCGUGGUAGGCGAGCAUUCUACCACUGAACCACCGAUGA